CCCUCUCUAAAACUCUCGCUGCAAAAUCUGCUACUCUCUAAAACUCUCGCUGCAAAAUAUGCUAAUCUUCAUACAAUUCAUACAAUUCUGCAUUCGAAAAUAUUCAAUCAAACAUUGUUAUUCAUCUCCAAACCGUAGACCUUCAACACUGUUUUCUACAAUGAAGAUUGAAGACCAAAUUCGAAGAGAAUUAGCUGAAGCGCCGAUUGUAGCUGAAUCGGUUGAAGCGCCGAUCGAAGAAAAUCGGCGUUCCACAUCAGCGGUGGUUCCGACUUCUUCAGGUUCAACAAUUGAUUCAAAUUUUAAGUAUAUUGUUUCGAUUUUAGUGUAUUAAAACAACUCUGGAUUUGUUUUCUUAUGAAUUCGAUUUCUGCUGAAUUUUUUUGUUGAUUAGCCAGGGUAGAAUCGCAAUUGGAAGCAUCAUCUUCCAGUUAAGGAUUUAUUUAAAUUUUUAAGAUUAUUGACAUUUCAAACAAUAGCUAUUGACAUAGCUAUAAUAACAGUAUAUGCUUGUUUGAAUAGUUGUUAGGAUGAUUGUAGAUUGAACAAGAAAGAGUUAUUGAUAUAGAUUUAUUGUGUUUCAUUUCAUACAAUAGCUAUUGACAUAGCUAUAAAACAGAGUAUAUGCUUGUUUGAACAGAGUAUAUGAUUUGUUUGACAUGGCUAUUGACAUAGCUAUUGACAUAACUAUAAUUGAGAUGCUUCGACAGCAAAGAAGAAUUUCAUUUCUCAGAUAGAUAAUGAGAUUCAAAGAAGACCAGAUUUCAACUGGAGAGAAAUUGAUUUGGUCUUCUUCCCAGUUCGUGCAAAUUUCCAUUACUAUCUUGUAGUAUAUUGGAUGAAGAAAAAACCAUUGAGAUAAUAGAUAACAGCAAGCCACAUAAAAAUAUGGAUCCGUUCGAGAAGUAUGACAUUGAUAUUGGUUUAAUGGUGAGGUCAUGAACUGCUAGUAAUCAUGGAGAGCAAGAACUACCAAGCAAGCCACUAUGCCACUCAGGGCGAUGAGCAGACGUUGCUCCAGCGUAUGCAUCAAGAGCUUUACAAUCUCAAGUUUCUAAUCGUCGUGGAUGAUAAUACUUGGGAUCGGAUCGCGCACGCCUUGCCAGAUAAGGAGAACGACAACCGGAGAACGACAUUUGGAUUCUUCUCACCACUAGGCUUCGGGAGGUCACUGAUAAAAAUUAUGAAAAAUCUAGUUUACUUCAUGAGAUGCAGCCGCUCGGGCUGGAGCACAACUGACAGUUCCUUUGUUAUCUUACCUUCGGUGAUAUGCUGAAAAAUGAUAAUGAUGAUGUUACAUUGCUCUGCCCUCCUCACUUGAAGGAAAUUGAAAGAUCAAUCACCGAGAAAUGUAAAGGUCUUCCUCUGUCACUGGUUGUGGUUGGUGGUCUUCUCAUUCAGGAGACAUAAAAGAUUGAUUUCUGGAAAAUGAUAGAAGAAGAUACUGCUGCAAUGGGGGAGGGUUCCAACUUGGAGAUCUUGGCUCUCAGCUACCUUUACUUGCCCGCUAGACUUCAAGGUUGUUUCCUUUACCUGGGUGCAUUCCCGGAAGAUUGUGAGAUACGUUCCUCUAAACUCAUCAAACUUUGGGUUGGUGAAGGCUUCUUCCUAAAACCUGCACUACCCACACAAACCAUGGACAACUAUUGUCGUUUCUGACUUUUGAACUUAGCAGUAUGUAAUAUAUAUGAAAUGUCAAUCAGUUCAACAACUUGUAUUGAAAUGUCAACAACGCAAAAACAAUUCUUAUAAUUAAAAAAGAACAA